CCUGGUGACCAUAGCGUGGCGGUCCCACUCCUUCCCAUUCCGAACAGGACAGUGAAACGCCUCUGCGCCGAUGAUAGUUGGUUGUAUUUCCAGUGAAAGUAGGUCAUCGCCAGGCUCCCUAUACGAACCCC
rnacentral:rRNA from 1 species